GAAAUGCGAUACUUGGUGUGAAUUGCAGAAUCCCGUGAACCAUCGAGUUUUUGAACGCAAGUUGCGCCCGAUGCCAUUAGGUUGAGGGCACGUCUGCCUGUGUGUCACAUAUCGAAUCCCCUUGCCAAUUUCCUAUUUAUUAGGUAUUGCGUGCAGGGUGAAUAUGUUGGCCUCCCGUGAGCUCUGUCUCGUGGUUGGUUGAAAAUUGAGACCUUGGUAGGGUGUGCCAUGAUAGAUGGUGGAUGUGUGACCCACGAGACCAAAUCAUGUGCAGCUCUAUUGAACGUGGACUCUUUUACCCACAUGUGUUUUAUAACGCUCGUGAUGAGACCUCAGGUCAGGCGGGGCUAGGAUAGCAGAG
rnacentral:misc_RNA from 1 species